rnacentral:lncRNA from 12 species
AGAAGAAAAUACAUUGCUGAUGAAACCAGGAAACCUACCUACAGGCUUCACCAGAUGUGACCAAAAGCUAUU